GACGAACGCUGGCGGCGUGCUUAACACAUGCAAGUCGAACGGAAAGGCCCUGCUUUUGUGGGUUGCUCGAGUGGCGAACGGGUGAGUAACACGUGAGUAACCUGCCCUUGACUUUAGGAUAACUUCAGGAAACUGGGGCUAAUACCGGAUAUGAGCUCCUGCUGCAUGGUGGGGGUUGGAAAGUUUCGGCGGUUGGGGAUGGACUCGCGGGUUAUCAGCUUGUUGGUGGGGUAGUGGCUUACCAAGGCUUUGACGGGUCGCCGGCCUGGGAGGGUGACCGGGCACAGUGGGACUGAGAUACGGCCCAGACUCCUACGGGGGGCAGCAGUGGGGAAUAUUGCAGAAUGGGCGGAAGCCUGAUGCAGCAACGCCGCGUGCGGGAUGACGGCCUUCGGGGUGUAAAAAGCUUUCGCCGGUGACGAAGAGUGAGUGACGGUAAUGGGUAAAGAAGCACCGGCUAACUACGUG
rnacentral:rRNA from 1 species